CCCUUCGCCGCACAUGGUACCGCCUUGGCCGCUGACUGGCUCCUCGUCUCCUGAAGACCGUCCCAUGUUGGAGGGGGUGUUAUUCCGGAGUUCAUUGACAGCAGUGCAGGGGGGAGGCAUGGGGUCAUAUCACAUGGGGCUGCUCAGAGCUGAGGACCCGGGCACAGAGUUCCUAGGAAGUGACGGCGCUCAGGUGAGGACGCCAUAUGCGGCGGGUACUGAUGGCGCCUUCACCUUUCUCGUACCCGGCACAACUUCCUCACGUGCGGGAGCAGGCUGGGCACAGGGAGGGGGCGGCACGGCUUCUGGAACAGCUGUGCCCGGCACGGGGAGGGUUAAAGGAGGAGGGAGUUCAUGGACUCCAACAAAGAAUAUGGCGAGAGUCUCCCACAGCCGUCCCCGUGCCCUUCACCGGCGCUCGGCUCGUGUGAAGAGUGUGUUUUGUCAAAAGAAAAAGCUGGAAGAUGUCAAGAGGAGUUUCUGAAAUAUAUUGAAGUGUCUGCUGUGGGUUA